AUUGCUUCUCGGCCUUUGGGCUAAGAUCAAGUGUAGUAUUUGUUAUUGUCAGUUUAUAUGUGUAGAUAUUAAAGUUUGCAUUGUACUUAGUGUAAUUGAAAAGUUGUUCUAAAAGAUAUAUUGCUUUUCCAUUAAACUACUUUGUUUCUGCAUUCCACCUCAGCCUGUAACUGACAGCCAGA